UACGGGAGGCAGCAGUGGGGAAUAUUGCACAAUGGGCGCAAGCCUGAUGCAGCCAUGCCGCGUGUAUGAAGAAGGCCUUCGGGUUGUAAAGUACUUUCAGCGGGGAGGAAGGCGAUGUGGUUAAUAACCGCGUCGAUUGACGUUACCCGCAGAAGAAGCACCGGCUAACUCCGUGCCAGCAGCCGCGGUAAUACGGAGGGUGCAAGCGUUAAUCGGAAUUACUGGGCGUAAAGCGCACGCAGGCGGUCUGUUAAGUCAGAUGUGAAAUCCCCGGGCUUAACCUGGGAACUGCAUUUUGAACUGGCAGGCUUGAGUCUCGUAGAGGGGGUAGAAGUUCCAGGUGUAGCGGUGAAAUGCGUAGAGAUCUGGAGGAAUACCGGUGGCGAAGGCGGCCCCUGGGACGAGACUGACGCUCAGGGUGCGAAAGCGUGGGGAGCAAACAGGGAUUAGAUACC
rnacentral:rRNA from 1 species